GUUGUAAGUCUCGCAACUGCCUGCCCGUCCCUUCCAGUUGCCCCGCGUGCUAGUCGGCGAGGACUCCACUUCUCUGAUGGUCUUUGUGCUCAUAAAUCACAACGUUAGAUUUGGGGUGGAUUUUUAGUGGUGGUUUGUGAUGUUGGAUUCGUGAUGUUGGGUGGAUUUCCUGCUCUUCAGAUGUAGCAGCAGCUUAGCUCUUGUUACUGGAACUCAACUGCGUAGGCCAUGGGAUUUCUUCGUUGAUAGUAGCAUAUUUGCCAUUUGAGCGGCUGGGUCAGAUUAUCCUCACCCGUAUUUUGCUCUAUUAUUCCUCUGCAUAACAAUCUGGCUUUGUUACUCCCCUCUUAGCUUGUUUUGUGCGAAUAUUGUUUAUUGUUUAAGCCUUGCCAGUUGGAUUUUAAGCAUCUGGAUUUUCAUCUUGUGAUGGAACAGAAAUAGCAAAAGCGUUGUAUCAUUUCUUGUUCA